AGGGAAUCUUCGGCAAUGGACGAAAGUCUGACCGAGCAACGCCGCGUGAGUGAAGAAGGUUUUCGGAUCGUAAAACUCUGUUGUUAGAGAAGAACAAGGAUGAGAAGAGAAUGUUCAUCCCUUGACGGUAUCUAACCAGAAAGCCACGGCUAACUACGUGCCAGCAGCCGCGGUAAUACGUAGGUGGCAAGCGUUGUCCGGAUUUAUUGGGCGUAAAGCGAGCGCAGGCGGUUCUUUAAGUCUGAUGUGAAAGCCCCCGGCUCAACCGGGGAGGGUCAUUGGAAACUGGGGAACUUGAGUGCAGAAGAGGAGAGUGGAAUUCCAUGUGUAGCGGUGAAAUGCGUAGAUAUAUGGAGGAACACCAGUGGCGAAGGCGGCUCUCUGGUCUGUAACUGACGCUGAGGCUCGAAAGCGUGGGGAGCAAACAGGAUUAGAUACCCUGGUAGUCCACGCCGUAAACGAUGAGUGCUAAGUGUUGGAGGGUUUCCGCCCUUCAGUGCUGCAGCUAACGCAUUAAGCACUCCGCCUGGGGAGUACGACCGCAAGGUUGAAAC
rnacentral:rRNA from 1 species